CACGCCGUAAACGAUGAGUGCUAAGUGUUGGAGGGUUUCCGCCCUUCAGUGCUGCAGUAAACGCAUUAAGCACUCCGCCUGGGGAGUACGGCCGCAAGGCUGAAACUCAAAGGAAUUGACGGGGGCCCGCACAAGCGGUGGAGCAUGUGGUUUAAUUCGAAGCAACGCGAAGAACCUUACCAGGUCUUGACAUCCUUUGACUGCUCUGGAGACAGAGUUUUCCCUUCGGGGACAAAGAGACAGGUGG
rnacentral:rRNA from 1 species